rnacentral:misc_RNA from 1 species
AAAUACUGAUACAACCAGUUGUAGCACAUCUCCAAUAUCAAAAAAGGGCCAUUUUGUUGUGUACUCUGCUGAUCAAAAACGUUUUCUGCUUCCUUUAAAGUAUGUUAACAACGAAAUUAUCAGAGAGCUAUUUAACAUGGCAGAAGAAGAGUUCGCAUUAUCAACAAUAUCGACAAUGGAUCGACUCACAUUGCCAUGUGAUGUAGAAUUUGUAGAGUACGCGAUUGCUUUGAUAAAAAAGAAAGUUACUAGAGAUAUAGAGAGAGCAUUGGUGAUGUCCAUAGCUAGUAGUUGUUGUUUAUCUUCUUUGUAUUUCCAAUGUCAAGCAACAAUCCAU